rnacentral:rRNA from 1 species
UGGGCACUUUAAAGAGACUGCCGGUGAUAAACCGGAGGAAGGUGAGGACGACGUCAAGUCAGCAUGCCCCUUACGCCCUGGGCUACACACGUACUACAAUGGCCGAGACAAAGAGUCGCAAGUUUGCAAAAACAAGCUAAUCUCAUAAACUCGGUCUCAGUUCGGAUUGCAGGCUGCAACUCGCCUGCAUGAAGUUGGAAUCGCUAGUAAUCGCCGGUCAGCCAUACGGCGGUGAAUCCGUUCCCGGGCCUUGUACACACCG